rnacentral:rRNA from 1 species
UACGUAGGGGGCAAGCGUUGUCCGGAAUCAUUGGGCGUAAAGAGCGUGUAGGCGGCUUGGUAAGUCCGCUGUGAAAGUCCAGGGCUCAACCCUGGAAAGCCGGUGGAAACUGUCAAGCUUGAGUCCGGAAGAGGCGAGUGGAAUUCCUGGUGUAGCGGUGAAAUGCGCAGAUAUCAGGAGGAACACCAAUGGCGAAGGCAGCUCGCUGGGACGGUACUGACGCUGAGACGCGAAAAGCGUGGGGGAGCAAACAGG